AUUGAACGCUGGCGGUAUGCUUAACACAUGCAAGUCGAACGGAAACGAUACUAGCUUGCUAGUAGGCGUCGAGUGGCGGACGGGUGAGUAACGCGUAGGAAUCUGCCUGAUAGUGGGGGAUAGCCCGGAGAAAUUCGGAUUAAUACCGCAUAAUCUAUUCGUAGUAAAGCGGGGGACUUUCGAGCCUCACGCUAUCAGAUGAGCCUGCGUAAGAUUAGCUUGUUGGUAGGGUAAAAGCCUACCAAGGCGACGAUCUUUAGCUGGUCUGAGAGGAUGAUCAGCCACAUCGGGACUGAGACACGGCCCGAACUCCUACGGGAGGCAGCAGUGGGGAAUAUUGGACAAUGGGGGCAACCCUGAUCCAGCAAUACCGCGUGUGUGAAGAAGGCCUGAGGGUUGUAAAGCACUUUCAAUUGUGAAGAAAAGUUAACGGUUAAUAACCGUUAGCCUUGACGUUAACUUUAGAAGAAGCACCGGCUAACUCCGUGCCAGCAGCCGCGGUAAUACGGAGGGUGCAAGCGUUAAUCGGAAUUACUGGGCGUAAAGCGUGCGUAGGCGGUUUAUUAAGUCAGAUGUGAAAGCCCCGGGCUUAACCUGGGAACUGCAUUUGAAACUGGUAAACUAGAGUAUGGUAGAGGAAAGUGGAAUUUCUGGUGUAGCGGUGAAAUGCGUAGAUAUCAGAAGGAACAUCAAUGGCGAAGGCAGCUUUCUGGACCAAUACUGACGCUGAGGUACGAAAGCGUGGGUAGCAAACAGGAUUAGAUACCCUGGUAGUCCACGCCGUAAACGAUGAUAACUAGCCGUUGGGGGGAUUUACCCUUUAGUGGCGAAGCUAACGCGUUAAGUUAUCCGCCUGGGGAGUACGGCCGCAAGGUUAAAACUCAAAGGAAUUGACGGGGACCCGCACAAGCGGUGGAGCAUGUGGUUUAAUUCGAUGCAACGCGAAGAACCUUACCUGGUCUUGACAUCCUGCGAACUUUCUAGAAAUAGAUUGGUGCCUUCGGGAACGCAGUGACAGGUGCUGCAUGGCUGUCGUCAGCUCGUGUCGUGAGAUGUUGGGUUAAGUCCCGUAACGAGCGCAACCCCUAUCCUUAUUUGCCAGCACAUUAUGGUGGGAACUAUAAGGAGACUGCCGGUGAUAAACCGGAGGAAGGCGGGGACGACGUCAAGUCAUCAUGGCCCUUACGACCAGGGCUACACACGUGCUACAAUGGGAAGGACAAAGAGCCGCGAAGCCGCGAGGUGUAGCUAAUCUCAUAAACCUUUUCGUAGUCCGGAUUGGAGUCUGCAACUCGACUCCAUGAAGUCGGAAUCGCUAGUAAUCGUAGAUCAGAAUGCUACGGUGAAUACGUUCCCGGGUCU
rnacentral:rRNA from 1 species